AGCAAUGCACUCAGACUCCUCUCUGCUGUGGAGAGCUUUUUUUUUUUUUUUUCAUAUUAAACUUUCACUCCAACUUUAUCUUUGUGUUUACAAUUCUUAAUUUUUUUGUCUUGGAUAAAGAACAAAAAACCUGGAGUACUUCUUCAGACAACAAGAAACUUCCAAAUUAAGGUGCAUUGGCAAGAAUGCAACAUAUUUUGAUCCAUUGGCUUGGAAGGAGGGAAUUCAUCAGAAGGGAGUGAAGACUGAUUUUGCAGAGCCAAUAAAGGCCCCUGGGGAAACUGGCCUCAUAUCUUGUCAUGAAGAUUUUAUACAGGUUUCCUAACCUGUGUGCUCACUGCUGCAAAGAAGAACAAGCACACAGGCAAAAAGUUUUCCCAGCAAGAAUGCCAGGGUGAAAGGAAAGAUCAAUUGGACCAGAGCACAAGUGCUGCUCCAGUUACUUGGCAGAGUACCUAAUAGUGAUCCACCACAAUACCACCAUAUAUCUGUUUGGGAAUAAACAAGGGCAAGUUGACUGCUUAAGAGUGAUGACAUGCAACUCAGUCUCUUGCAACACCACCUGAGAAAAGGAAGCACUAGCAGGAAGAACAAAUUGAUGGAGAGGAAAAGUGAUGAAUACAGAUAAGAAGCACAGCUGGUGGAGGCUCAUGUGCCAGUUUACUGGGCCUCAGGACAUUCUCCUCUAGAAGGAGGAGACAGCAUGACCCCCACUUUCUUUUAUUUUAUUAUAAUUUAAGUUUUAGGGUACAUGAGCACAAUGUGCAGGUUAGUUACAUAUGUAUACAUGUGCCAUGCUGGUGUGCUACAGCCAUUAACUCAUCAUUUAGCAUUAGGUAUAUCUCCUAAUGCUAUCCCUCCCCCCUACCCCUACCCCACAACAGCCCCCAGAGUGUGAUGUUCCCCUUCCUGUGUCCAUGUGUUCUCAUUGUUCAAUUCACACCUAUGAGUGAGAAUAUGUGGUGUUUGGUUUUUUGUCCUUGUGAUAGUUUACUGAGAAUGAUGAUUUCCAAUUUCAUCCAUGUCCCUACAAAGGACAUGAACUCAUCAUUUUUUAUGGCUGCAUAAUAUCCCAUGGUGUGUAUGUGCCCCAUUUUCUUAAUCCAGUCUAUCAUUGUUGGGCAUUUGGGUUGGUUCCAAGUCUUUGCUAUUGUGAAUAGUGCCGCAAUAAAUGUACGUGUGCAUAUGUCUUUAUAGCAGCAUGAUUUAUAGUCCUUUGGGUAUAUACCCAGUAAUGGGAUGGCUGGGUCAAAUGGUAUUUCUAGUUCUAGAUCCCUGAGAAAUCACCAAACUGACUUCGACAAUGGUUGAACUAGUUUACAGUCCCACCAACAGUGUUAGUCCAUUUACAUUUAAAGUUAAUAUUAUUAUGUGUGAAUUUGAUCCUGUCAUUAUGAUGUUAGCUGGUUAUUUUGCUCGUUAGUUGAUGCAGUUUCUUCCUAGCUUUGAAGGUCUUUACAAUUUGGCAUGGUUUUGCAGUGGCUGAUACCGGUUUUUCCUUUCCAUGUUUAGUGCUUCCUUCAGGAGCUCUUUUAGAGCAGUAAUCUCUCAGCAUUUGCUUGUCUGUAAAGUAUUUUAUUUCUCCUUCACUUAAGAAGCUUAGUUUGGCUGGAUAUGAAAUUCUGGAUUGAAAAUUCUUUUCUUUAAGAAUGUUGAAUAUUGGCCCCCACUCUCUUCUGGCUUGCAGAGUUUCUGCCAAGACAUCAGCUGUUAGUCUGAUGGGCUUCCCUUUGUGGGUAACCUGACCUUUCUCUCUGGCUGCCCUUAACAUUUUUUCCAUCAUGUCAACUUUGGUGAAUCUGACAAUUAUGUGUCUUGGAGUUGCUCUUCUUCAGGAGUAUCUUCAUGGCAUUCUCUGUAUUUCCUGAAUCUGAAUGUUGGCCUACCUUGCUAGAUUGGCGAAGUUCUCCUGCAGAGUGUUUUCCAACUUGGUUCCAUUCUCCGCAUCACUUUCAGGUACACCAAUGAGACGUAGAUUUGGUCUUUUCACAUAGUCCCAUAUUUCUUGGAGGCUUUGUUCGUUUCUUUGUAUUCUUUUUUCUCUAAACUUCCCUUCUUGCUUCAUUUCAUUCAUUUCAUCUUCCAUCACUGAUACCCUUUCUUCCAGUUGAUUGCAUCAGCUCCUGAGGCUUCCUCAUUCUUCACGUAGUUCUCAAGCCUUGGCUUUCAGCUCCAUCAGCUCUUUUAAGCACUUCUCUGUAUUGGUUAUUCUAGUUAUACAUUCGUCUAAAUUUUUUUCAAAGUUUUCAACUUCUUUGCCUUUGAUUUGAAUUUCCUCCUGUAGCUCGAAGUAGUUUGAUCGUCUGAAGCCUUCUUCUCUCAACUCGUCAAAAUCAUUCUCCAUCCAGCUUUGUUCCAUUGCUGGUGAAGAAUUGCGUUCCUUUGGAGGAGGAGAGGCGCUCUGCUUUUUAGAGUUUCCAGUUUUUCUGCUGUGUUUUUUCCCCAUCUUCGUGGGUUUAACUACUUUUGGUCUUUGAUGAUGGUGAUGUACAGAUGGGUUUUUGGUGUGGAUGUCCUUUCUGUUUGUUAGUUUUCCUUCUAACAGACAGGACCCUCAGCUGCAGGUCUGUUGGAGUUUUCUAGAGGACCACUCCAGAUCCCGUUUGCCUGGGUAUCAGCAGCGGUGGCUGCAGAACAGCAGAUUUUCAUGAACCACGAAUGCUGCUGUCUGAUGGCUCCUCUGGAAGUUUUGUCUCAGAGGAGUACCUGGCCAUGUGAGGUGUCAGUCUGCCCCUACUGGGGGGGUGCCCCCCAGUUAGGCUGCUCGGGACCCCCAAUUUGUUUGUGUAUCUCAGGGUGAGUUUGUGCCAUUUUCUGUUAGCCUUAUUGGUCUCUGUGUCUGUGGUGCACUUCAUUCAUCAGCGUCUGUGUUUGUUUGCAUUUUUUACUUGUCUCUCCAUCUAUUUCUCUGAUUUUGUUACAUUUUACAUUUUAAGUUUCAUUAUAUUUUCCAUUCACAUAUUAUACAUGCACAACUAUAUGGCAGACCAUGUUAUUUUAAAACAUGCAUACAAUAUACCAAAUAAUGGUAUUUAUUCAUCUCCUCUAAUGUUCCUCGUGAUUAGAACCCUAGGAAUUCUCUCUUCUAUUUAGAAAUAUAUAAUGCAUUGUUAUUAAAAAUAGUGACCCUGCUGUGCAAUGGAAUACCAUUGCUUCUUUUUUUUCAAUUUAACUACUUUUUUUGUAUUUAUUUACCAACUUCUUCCUAUCCCUACAUUUCUAAUUCUUUCUAGACCCCCAUAACCACUAUUCUUCCCUAUAAUUCUAUGAGAAAAUUUUUUAGAUUCCACAUAUAGGUCAGAUAAUGUGUUAUUUUUAUUCCUACACCUAGGUUAUUUUGCUUAGUUACAUGUAAAGGAAUAUACAUGGUAUGUGGCAUGGCAAAUGAUAAAAGUUCAUUUUUAAUAGAUAUAUACUAUUUCAUUGUGUGUGUGUGUACAUAUACCACAUUUUAAAUUCAUUUGUCUGUUUAUGAACAUCCAGGUUUAAUAUUGUAUUGUUCAUGGUGAAUAGUGCUGUAAUAAACAAAAAAGAGCAAAUAUUUAUUUGACAUGCUAAUUUUCUUUCCCUUGCCUACAUACUCAGUGGUGCAGAUUGUUCAGUCAUGUGGAAACUUUCAUGUAAAUUUUUUAGAGAUCUACAGAAUGUCUUCCAUACUGAUUCUACUAAUUUACAUUCCAUCCAAGAGGAUGUUUUGUGCAGUUCCCCACUUUUCUUUUCUCCACAUCCCUGGCAAUACUUGUUAUUCUUUUGCAAUUUUUAGUUAUAUCCAUUAUUAUUCUAAUAGAUUCACUGAGCUGAAAGGACUUGUCAUAUUUUCUUAUGGGUUUUCCUGGCAUUUCUCCAAUAAAAAUUAUGUUGAACUUUUAUUUAGAAAUGUGUUGGAAGUAUCUGUGUCAUUUUUGGAGAAAUGUCUAUUUACAUCUUUUGAACAUUUUUAAUUAGAAAAUUUUUGGCUAUUGUUUCUUAUUUGUUCUGGAUACUAAGUUUUUUUCUUUUUUUUCCUUUUGUUUUGGAGAUGGAGUCUUACUCUGUCACCCAGGCUGGAGUGCAGUGAUGCAACCUUGGCUCACGGCAACCUCUGCUUCCCAGAUCAAACGAUUCUCCUACCUCAGCCUCCUGAGUAGCUGGGAUUACAGGUGUGUGCCACCACACCCA
rnacentral:lncRNA from 1 species